AGGGGCGUAGGCUAAUGGUAAACUUCUUCUCUCCAAAAGAAGAGUUCUGGGUUCAAGUCCCGGCGCCCCUG
rfam:Microgenomates (Daviesbacteria) bacterium GW2011_GWB1_41_5 TT67_C0030, whole genome shotgun sequence.